rnacentral:rRNA from 1 species
CGGACGGGGUGAGUAAUGUCUGGGAAACUGCCCGAUGGAGGGGGAUAACUACUGGAAACGGUAGCUAAUACCGCAUAACGUCGCAAGACCAAAGAGGGGGACCUUCGGGCCUCUUGCCAUCGGAUGUGCCCAGAUGGGAUUAGCUAGUAGGUGGGGUAAUGGCUCACCUAGGCGACGAUCCCUAGCUGGUCUGAGAGGAUGACCAGCCACACUGGAACUGAGACACGGUCCAG